AUCAUGAAAUCCUUAUAGUCAUUUCAUGAGAAAAAUAUUAUUUUUAUCCCCAUUUUACAGAUGAGAAAAACAGAGAUCCAGAAAGUCACAGCGGUUUGCUCAAGCUCACUUCAUUUGCGAAUUAUGGGGCUGAAAUUUUCACCAAGGCUGAGCGUGACAUUUGGGUCUUAAAAGCAUCGUUUAAGGAGACAAAGGAAGGACAUAUGGGCCAAAGGAGCUCCAGGACAUCAAACAUCAAAGGAUGGGGUCCUCCGGAUAACUGAGUUCCCUGAAGUUUGUGUCUCUCAGACUGGUCCACACUGAGCCUCCAGUAAUUCAUCAGUGACAGACAGCUCCAGUUUCCUUCCCGGACACUGGUUCCCAUGGAGGCGUCUGCUUUGACUGACAGCAGCUAUAAUUAUCAGUGGAAGAUUUUAUUCAUGGAGGAAUCUGUAUGUAUAUAAGAUUACCUUUUCAGAUGAGGUUCGGCAAGCCUCUCACCCUCGGGAGCACAUAUGUCUUACCAAGGCCUCUGAUGUCUUCCAGUCCAAUCAAUACAGUGUCGCCAGGGUCAUAGAUUAAUGGGAUGUUCUGUGGACCAUCAAGAUGAUCUAGAUCUCUUUGGAUUGGAUUGUGGCAGAAGGAAGGAGAGUUAGUACAACACAGAGGGAAAAUGGUAAAUGUGUUUUGUUGUCUGUUACAUGGG